rnacentral:rRNA from 1 species
UGGGGUAAACGGACAGAGCCCGUGAAUCCGGGCGUCAGUGUUCAGAAGCGAUGGCGUGUGCGCGCGUUUCGAGCGCGCGUACGCGUCGUCGUUUUGAUAUUUCUGGCGCCGCGACCAAAUUCAACACGGACGUCGCGACCCGUUUGGUGUCGGUCUGAGGAGUCGCGUUUCACGUUCGUUUCGCGUGCGCUCGUUGUCUCGGCAGCGAGCUGCGCGCAUUACGAGURCGCGAUGCACAUCCGGCUGACUGGCCAGACGGUACGCUCGAUGGGUGGCCGGUGUUGCCUCUCACUUUUGUGCGUGUGCGCGCAACAUCGGUGCCGGUCUGCGACGAAUCUUC